GCUGAGACUAGAGUCACAUCUUGGUACUGUCAGUUAUCAUGGUGUGCUAUUGUACUCAGAGAGUACCAACUGACCUUUAUUCACUGACUGUCUCCUUCCCAAUACAGUCAGUCACCAGGUUAGUAACAGAA